GAACAUUCCUAGAAGAAACCAUUAAAACCACUAUAGAACCAUGAAUAUGUGAGUUUGAGUUGUCAAAACAAAAAUAUAUUUAACAUUUAAAUGAUUUCUAUUUCCUUCUUCCUUCAGUUAUCAAAAGUCAAUGGUGUGAAAAUUUUAUUAGUAAAAGAUAUUGUCUUUUCAAACAUAAAUAUUAUCUAAGAAGAGAGAGAAUAUAUUCUCUUCAAACUUCUGUACUCAUUUUACCUGAAACACUAAUUAAAGGUUAGCAGAAUUUCUUAAAAAUUUUUCCAUAGCUAAAUAUUGCCCUAUAAUAAAUUAAAUUAUCUAUUUUUUCUACAUAGUAUAUUUGCCUCAGAAAACUUAUAGUAUAUAUAUUUAUAGAAUAGUUAAAAUAUGAUUUUAUCAAAACACUAAAAGAUUUUGUUUUCACCACUAUAACCAAAAGACCUGACAAGAACAAUUAAAGGAGGAAAAGUUUAUUUGGAGGCUCAGUUUCAGAGGUCUCAAUCCAUAGAUGGCCACCUCUAUUCCCUGGGGUAUGAGAUGAGGCAGAACUUGGCAGAUGGGCUUUGUGGAGGAAAGCACUAGGAAGCAAUACUCCCCUCACCGUUGACAAAAUAUAUACCCCAAAGGCAUGCCCCCAGGAACCCACCUCCUGCAGCCAAGCUACCUGCCCAUGGUUACCACCAAAUUAAUCCCUAUCUGAGAAUUAAUGAACUGAUUAGUCUCAUUUUACCUCUAAGCUUUCUUGUGUUUUCUUACACAUCAGCUUUUGGGGAACACCUAAUAUCUAAACUAUACCAGUGUCUAAAUGAAUCAGUAUUAAAAUAUAUAAAA
rnacentral:lncRNA from 1 species